CCUACGGGAGGCAGCAGUGAGGAAUAUUGGUCAAUGGCCGGAAGGCUGAACCAGCCAAGCCGCGUGAGGGAGGACGGCGCAGAGCGUCGCAGACCUCUUUUGCCGGGGGACAAAAGGCCGGACUCGUCCGGUCCUGAGGGUACCCGGAGAAAAAGCAUCGGCUAACUCCGUGCCAGCAGCCGCGGUAAUACGGAGUAGGCGAGCGUUAUCCGGAUUCAGUGGGUUUAAGGGGUGCGCAGGGGGGCCUUUAAGCCGGCGGGAAAAUCGCGGGGGUCACCCCCGCCGAGCCGUCGGAACUGGGAGCCUUGAGUGCGGCGGAGGUAUGCGGAAUGCGCGGUGUAGCGGUGAAAUGCGUAGAUAUCGCGCAGAACCCCGAUUGCGAAGGCAGCGUGCCGUGCCGCCACUGACGCUGAGGCACGAAAGCGCGGGGAUCGAACAGGAUUAGAUACCCGGGUAGUC
rnacentral:rRNA from 1 species